GGAGUUGUGGCUCAGAGGUAGAGCACUCACCUAGCAUGUGCAAGACCCUGGGUUCAAUCCCCAGCACCA
rnacentral:tRNA from 1 species